UCAGCAACACGCAAAGUGAAUUCGCGUUUACAAUAGCAGACCUCGAUUCUUCUGCUCCUACUACAGAACCGGAACCUUAUCGUCUCCGAAGAACUGUACUGUUUAGGCUCGAAGUGGUUGUGGAUCAUACACCAGCAAGCACUACUGUUCUUAAGCAAUGGCAACAACAAAAAAACAACAACAACAAUUGGGGUAUAAUUUAAACCCUUCUUUGGUGAGAGGUAUUUUCGAGAAGCUCCACGAUUCCAAGUGCUUUUGUAAAGCCCUAGAAGUAUCAGAGUGGUUGAUUGAAAAUAGGAUCUGUAAUAGCCUCCCGGAAGAUUACACAGUUUGAUAUCAGAUAAGUUUAUACCUUGGGUGAAGAGAGACGAGAUAAAGAAUGAAGAGUAUUGAAGUGUAAUAAGCUCUUUGUUGAAGCUUGAAGAUGUAGAAGGAUCUUCAAUAACCACCGUUAAUGGUUAAUUUGGUCACUACAUGCAAUGUAGCCGAAGGAAAUAUUAUCAUAU